rnacentral:lncRNA from 1 species
CAAACCAUAGAGCAUUCACUGGCUAAGUGAUUGAAUUAUGCACUGUAUGCCUUACAUAAAAGCAUGUGUACAAGUACAUUUGAGUAUGGGUGCCGGAGCUGCCAGUGUGGCAGUGGGUGCAGAAAAUGCAAUCAUAUCAUCAAAGUAUAAUGCAUAGCUAAUUUUGUUUGUACUUGCAAAAAAUAAAUUGAAAAGAAAUUUUACAUGGGAAAUAAAGAUGUUUUUAUUUAUACCUGGCCAAAAAGAAAAUUUGACAACACACUGCAUGUCCUUGGAAGCACUGUAAACUACUAUUGUAUAUGAUAUAAAAUGGCAAAUCAGCGAAAAGUUCAAUAACACUUACAUUCAAUAUUUUGCCGAAAUCAACAUUUCCAGGCAUUCCCCCAGGCAUACCUCCAGGCAUUCCCCCAGGCAUACCUCCAGGCAUACCUCCAGGCAUUCCCCCAGGCAUACCCCAGGCAUACCCCCAGGCAUUCCCCAGGCAUACCUCCAGGCAUUCCCCCAGGCAUACCUCCAGGCAUUCCCCCAGGCAUACCUCCUGGAAAUCUUCCUGGAAAUCCACUUGGCAUGCCUCCAGGUUUUCUACUGGAAGAUGAUUGCUCUUGCUUCUUGGCCUUCUCAUACUCAG